rnacentral:rRNA from 1 species
GACGAACGCUGGCGGCGUGCUUAACACACGCAAGUCGAACGGAAAGGCCCUGCUUUUGUGGGGUGCUCGAGUGGCGAACGGGUGAGUAACACGUGAGUAACCUGCCCUUGACUUUGGGAUAACUUCAGGAAACUGGGGCUAAUACCGGAUAGGAGCUCCUGCUGCAUGGUGGGGGUUGGAAAGUUUCGGCGGUUGGGGAUGGACUCGCGGCUUGUCAGCUUGUUGGUGGGGUAGUGGCUUACCAAGGCUUUGACGGGUAGCCGGCCUGAGAGGGUGACCGGCCACAUUGGGACUGAGAUACGGCCCAGACUCCUACGGGAGGCAGCAGUGGGGAAUAUUGCACAAUGGGCGGAAGCCUGAUGCAGCAACGCCGCGUGCGGGAUGACGGCCUUCGGGUUGUAAACCGCUUUCGCCUGUGACGAAGCGUGAGUGACGGUAAUGGGUAAAGAAGCACCGGCUAACUACGUG